GAGAAAGGCAGGCUGGGUCCGCCUGGCAGCCUACCGGAGAAGGCGGGUAGCAAGCCGGAGCAAAAGGAGAGAGAAGAGCUGCUGGCCGAGGGGAGGGGAGAAUGGACAGGAAGGACUGGAGGAGGAGAAAAGAAGGGAGCCCUGGCAGCCUCUGGCCGGGGCGUCCUCGGCCCCUUCUUUGAACCCCGCAGUGCUUACAGCCUGGUUUCUUCCUUGUGUCCCAGCUCCAGAUGAAGAAGGGACAGAGCAUCUGAGAGCAUCUGCAGCCUGGGCAGGGCAAGUCCUCUGGCGUGAGAUUUCUGCAGGGAGAAUGCGUCCCGACUUGGCAGAAUUUAAUCUGAAGAACUCCUGUUGGCUCAACUUACCCCAGAAUUUGAAGUUUGAUUGCAAAUAAAAGCAGAUCAUUGAGUAAUGGAAGUGAACAACAUCUGAAACCACAUUCUGACCAUUAUUUGCAUACACGAUAAUCAACACAGCACUGGAAUUACUGUGUGUGAAGGCCUUUCCAUUUGCCUCCUUUUUUGUACUUUUGAUCCUUGUGAAUGAAUUCCAUCAUAUCAUAUACAAAGACCACUAAAAUAAGUACUAUGAACAUUAGUAAAUUAAGUUAAAAGAGCUUACAAAGUAAUGAAGAAAAGUACAAUAUGUAUUGGAUAUGUGCCAGUAGCUAAAGUCCAACAUGCAAAUUUUUACAGCAAAUUACUUAAAAUGACCUCAAAUACAAAAGACUAAAGAACCAUGGAGCAUUACCUUGACUGCUUCUCAGAUGCUUGCUGAUGUGUGUUCAAAGCUCCUGUGAAGAAAGCCCAGUUGAAUUGAAGGAUCACUAUAAGUACAAGUAAUCUGUCAAUUGACUCUUGGUUAACCACCAGUAGUCACAAUUGUAUCUGAAUAUCUAUGUACUCUCAUAUAUGCUCAUCCACAGAAAUGCACAAAUGAAAACAAACCAAACAUAUAUUCUUUUUAUUCUGUUCAUAUGUAAUAAGUCAUUUGAUAACCAUUUUUUAGCUGUUUACUAUGUAUCUGGCACUGUAAUACAUUUAGAUAGACAAAAACAAAAAUCACAUGAGCUCUUGUCCUCAAGGAGAUUACAUUAUAUCUAGCAAUAAAUGUAAAUUUAUUAUAUAUAUAUAUAUAUUAUAUUUAUAUAAUUAUAUAUUAUUUAUAUAUAAAGGAAUGGAUAAUAUUGAAAAAGAUGCUCAGCAUAAUUGCAAAAAAGGCAUGAGUUCAUGUCCAAGUUUUAUUAUUAAGAAGUUAUAUGACUUUUAACAAGUCCCUGGAUUUCAGUUCCAUCAUAUAUGAAAUAUUGGAGUUUAACUAGAUAAUUUCCCAUCUAAAAUUUAGUAAUUUUUAUGAUAGUUAGAAUAAAUAGUUCUAUUUUUCCAUGAAAAUUUUAAAGAAAGUAAAUCUCCUAUAUAAUCCUGAAGACAAGAAGAAACAAAAAUUUGAUAUGUCAGUGGUCACUCUUCAGUCAAACAGAAUGGUCCUGAAGAGCUUAAGGGAUGCUGCUGAAAGGACUCUAUAUCUAAAAAUAAGCAUAAGUUAUUAAUGACAUGUACUUGGGCCAUUUCUUUGGGUUAUGAUAUUCUACUCUAAAAGUGUCUAUUAUGGUGUAGCUUGCUUGUAAAAUGCUAAGUUAAUAUUGGCCAAUCAAUUCUUAUUUUUAAUUGCUUAACAACCAGCAAGUCUUGAGAUAAUGGAACACAUAUUUAGAUGAGGGGAAAGGAAGAUAGAACUAGAGCAGAGAGAACAUGUUUAAAAAGAAAGUUCUAUAUAGCUAGGUAUGGUCCACAUAGGGCAGCUAGAGGGAAUAAGCUAGAUCAAAUAACAGUGGAUGCAUCUUUGGGAGUGGGAGGAAGGUAAAAAGGAACAAAAAGGGGAGGCAGAAAACAAACUUUGUUUUUGGAAUACAUGUUCUGGAACUCAUUUCUAUUUUCAGAUCAGUAUGCAAGGGAGGCUGUGUUGGCAAAUAUUUAAACAAUUUUUGGUCUAGUGGGAGGGUGUGUUGAGUAGUGGGAGACUUGAGUGUUUGGCUUGGAGUCAGGAAGACCUGCAUUCCAUCCUGCCUUAGCCACUUGUUUAGUGAUUCUAAGCAAGUUCCUACCUUUUCUGAUCUGUAUUUUAUUCAUCUGUAGAAUAACCAAAGUCCCUUAUAGGUCUACAUUUAUGAUCCUAUGACAAGGAUUCAGAAAGAAAAAUAGUAGAAUCUGAUUAUUUGUGGACAAUAGGCACUUAACUGAUGAAUUGAACUUACAAAAGGAUAUAAAGUUCAAAGCACCCAAACCAGUUGUGAUACUUACUAUCCAAGGCCAGUUUUGUAACUGGCCUCUAAAUCUCUAUCUCUCUCUCUCUCUCUCUCUCUCUCUCUCUCUCUCUUUCUCUGUCUUUCGGUAAAAUGGGAAUGAUACUUAAACAAUCUCACAAGUUUGUGAGGAAAUACUCAAAUUCAAAUGAUCUGUGAUGUCAUUAAUAUGAAUGUUUCCUCCAACAAUGGAGAUGGAAACAUAUUUAUGCCUAUUCAUCCUGUGCAGCUCUUAUAUACAUACCACCAUAGAUUCAUCCCAAGCGGUCCACCUACAGUAGUGGAGGCCUCUGUUGCUUUCUCUAGAAAAUUCAACGAUACCUGUGGGAGUCUCAUGUACUUUCAUUGGUUAUUAUUCAUUUUCUACAAAUGACCAAGGUAUAUUGGUCAUAUAUUUCAUUUAUGCAUAAUUUGCUCCAUCUCUUCUUUAUAAUUCUUAUGGUUUGUGUGCUUUUGCUUGUUCACAACAAAGAUCUACAUGGAGUUGUCAUAACAGCUUAUGUAAUAAUAGCUAAAUAAUCACUAUUACAUAGUACAUAACAUCUAAUUCUUGACAAAAUAACUAACUUUUUCUUCAAUUGUAACAUAAUAUUGAUAAAAAAGAACUUUUAAAAAAAUGUGGUCCCUUGGUGGUUGAAAUAGUUAUCAAAACUCUUGAGAUUAUUUAUAUUUUAAAAUUCUUCACUCCUCCAUUUAACUCCUCCACCCCUCUACAGCCUUUAUUAAGGAAAAUCAAUCUUAUAGAUAUUAAUAUCUAUAUCUAUCUAUAAAUAUGUAGUUUGUAUAUAAUGACUGCUUAAUAAAUGCUUGUUUUUAUAAUCAACACUAGCUACAAUUUCACCUCUAAAGGAAGCCUUCCUUGAUCCUCCUAGUUAGUGUUUUUUCCCUCUUUAAAUUAUUUUGUAAAUAUUUAUUUCUCAGUUGUAUUUCUCUCUCUAGUAUAUUAGAAUUUUUUUGAGGUGGAGAAACAGUCUUUUUUCUGUAUUUCCCUAAGACAAUGUCUUUUACUUUAUAAGUAAGUAAUAAAUGUGUGUUAUAUAGAAAGAUCUCAUAUUGAUAGGAUUUUAUGAUUAUUUUUUAAAAAGAGGAAAAACUGAGCCAUCCAUUGUUAACACUGGAUUUUCAGUAAUUAUUUUUCUUUCUGAAAGAGAAAUGAAAAGAUGUAAAAGAUUGGGUUGAAAGGAAUAAAAAGGAAAUUAAAAUUCCAAAUACAAUAUCUACAUAAUAUUCCCAUAUUUAUUGUUCAUUAACAUAUUGUGUAAAUUGAUACUAUUAUAACUGAAACUUUACAUAAUUAUAUUAAAAUUAAUGUAUUUGUAGUCCAUAUGGUAAUACUGUUUAACAUUCGGUUUUUACAUUUUAUUUGAAACUAUUUAUAAGUAAGGGUAAACUUCAGGGUCUCUCAGGUUGCUGAAAAAGAGAAAAAUACAGAAAAAUAUACAUUCAUGGCUUUUCAUUUUGGAAAUUAAUGUUUAAAUGCAUUUAAAAAUACUUUUGAAUUAUAAUGUGCCAGAAAAUCCUUUAUUCAUUUUGAAAAUUGUCUAUUAAAUAUUAUUUUAUUCACACUUAUCUUUUACCUACCAUUUACUUUAAUGAUGAGGCUCCUAUAUUUCUUUUGCAAAGCUAUUCACUACUGAACUGCAUUAAGCCAUGGUAAAGAGAAUAACUGGGGGGUCAAAAUCUUCCCUAUUGACAAAGACAGUGGUAGACAAGCUGUCAAAAUAUGUUUAAUAAAAUCCCCUAAAGUAAACAUUUGUGAGAGAUCCAGUUAGAAGCUAUAACAGCUUGAAGUAUGUUCAUUAUAAACUCACAAAUGCAUGAAUGUCUUAUAAGAAGUGAUGUUCGACUAUGCUCAAAAAGCUAUCAAACUGUGCAUACCCUUUGACCCAGCAGUGUUACCACUGGGCAUAUAUCGCAAAGAGAUUUUAAAGAAGGGGAAGGGACCUGUAUAUGCAAGAAUGUUUGUGGCAGCCCUCUUUGUGGUGGCCAGAAACUGGUAACUGAGUGGAUGCCCAUCAAUUGGAGAAUGGUUGGGUAAAUUGUGGUAUAUGAAUAUUAUGGAAUAUUAUUGUUCAGUAAGAAAUGACUAGCAGGGUAAUUUCAGAAAGGCCUGGAGAGACUUACAUCUACUGAUGCUGAGUGAAAUUAGCAGGACCAGAAGAUCAUUAUAUACUUCAACAACAAUACUGUAUGAUGAUCAAUUCUGAUGGUCGUGGCCCUCUUCAACAAUGAGAUGAAACAAAUCAGUUCCAGUAGAACAGUAAUGAAUUGAAUCAGCUACAUCCAGCAAAAGAACUCUGGGAAAUGAAUGUGAACCACCACAUAGAAUUCCCAAUCCCUCUAUUUUUGUCCACCUACAUUUUUUGAUUUCCUUCACAGGUUAAUUGUACACUAUUUCAAAGACCGAUUCUUCUUGUGCAGCAAAAUAACUGUAUUGACAUGUAUACAUAUAUUGUAUUUAACAUACACUUUAACAUAUUUAGCAUGUAUUGUUCUACCUGCCAUCUGGGGGAGGGGUGGGGAAAAGGAGGGGGAAAAUUGAAACAAAAUGUUUUGCAACUGUCAAUGCUGAAAAAUUGCCCAUGCAUAUAUCUUGUAAAUAAAAAGCUAUACUAAUAAAAAAAAAAGAAAAAAAAAAAAAGAAGUGAUGUUCCAGUAGGCUUUAGACAAAUUUUAGGUAAAAUUGUGAAAGAUAGGAAGUUUAUUUUUAUGCCCCCUUCAUUGUUUCUUCACUUCCCCUUUUCAGAUAUCCAGUAUCUUCAUAUGCUUCCUCUACCUACACAUCAAAGCCUCUGGAAAUGAACCAUUAAUAUGAACCUUUGGAUUAUCUGUUGGAUCAUCUGGAUUAUUCAUUCUUUGUAGACUUUGACAUUUGACAUAUAUGGAAUAUAGUAUCAUCAGGCCUGGAGAGACUUACACGAACUGAUGCUGAAUGAAAUGAGCAGGACCAGGAGAUCAUUAUAUACUUCAACAACAAUACUAUAUGAUGACCAGUUCUGAUGGACCUGGCCAUCCUCAGCAAUGAGAUCAACCAAAUCAUUUCCAAUGGAGCAGUAAUGAACUGAACCAGCUAUGCCCAGAGAAAGAACUCUGGGAGAUGACUAAAAACUAUUAUUACAUUGAAUUCCCAAUCCCUAUAUUUAUGCCCACCUGCAUUUUUGAUUUUCUUCACAAGCUAAUUGUACAAUAUUUCAGAGUCUGAUUCUUUUUGUACAGCAAAAUAACGUUUUGGUCAUGUAUACUUAUUAUGUAUCUAAUUUAUAUUUUAAUAUAUUUAACAUCUACUGGUCAUCCUGCCAUCUGGGGGAGGGAGUGGGGGGUAAGAGGUGAAAAACUGGAACAAGAUGUUUGGCAAUUGUUAAUGCUGUAAAGUUACCCAUAUAUAUAACCUGUAAAUAAAAGGCUAUUAAAUUUUUAAAAAAUGCUUUUCAAGGCAUACUAUAC
rnacentral:lncRNA from 1 species